rfam:Serendipita vermifera MAFF 305830 unplaced genomic scaffold scaffold_64, whole genome shotgun sequence.
GGCCUCUUGGUUUAGUGGAGAGAACGCCUUCAUAUCUUGGGGAGGAGGUCCGAGGUUCGAUUCCUCGAGAGGCUA